rnacentral:rRNA from 1 species
UACGGAGGGUGCGAGCGUUGUUCGGAAUUACUGGGCGUAAAGCGCACGUAGGCGGCUUUUCAAGUCAGGUGUGAAAGCCCCGAGCUUAACUCGGGAACUGCACUUGUUACUGUUGGGCCAGAGACCGGGAGAGGAUAGCGGAAUUCCCAGUGUAGAGGUGAAAUUCGUAGAUAUUGGGAAGAACACCAGUGGCGAAGGCGGCUAUCUGGACCGGUACUGACGCUGAGGUGCGAAAGCGUGGGGAGCAAACAGG